rnacentral:rRNA from 1 species
UGUCAGCAGCCGCGGUAAUACGGAGGAUCCAAGCGUUAUCCGGAAUCAUUGGGUUUAAAGGGUCCGUAGGCGGUCAGGUAAGUCAGUGGUGAAAGCCCAUCGCUCAACGGUGGAACGGCCAUUGAUACUGUCUGACUUGAAUUAUUAGGAAGUAACUAGAAUAUGUAGUGUAGCGGUGAAAUGCUUAGAGAUUACAUGGAAUACCAAUUGCGAAGGCAGGUUACUACUAAUGGAUUGACGCUGAUGGACGAAAGCGUGGGUAGCGAACAGGAUUAGAUACCCUGGUAGUCCACGCCGUAAACGAUGGAUACUAGCUGUUGGGAGCGAUUUCAGUGGCUAAGCGAAAGUGAUAAGUAUCCCACCUGGGGAGUACGUUCGCAAGAAUGAAACUCAAAGGAAUUGACGG